ACUCAAAUGAAUAGACGGGGGUCCGCACAAGCGGUGGAACAUGUGGUUUAAUUCGACACUACGCGAGGAACCUUACCUAGGCUUGACAUGUACUUGACCGCCAUGGAAACAUGGUUUUUUGAGUCUUUGACUCAAACAGGUACACAGGUGCUGCAUGGCUGUCGUCAGCUCGUGUCGUGAGAUGUUCGGUUAAGUCCUCUAACGAGCGCAACUCUCGCCGUCAGUUGCUAUCCUUCGGGAGCACUCUGAUGGGACUGCCUAGGAAACUAGGAGGAAGGUGGGAAUGACGUCAAGUCCUCAUGGCCCUUAUGUCUAGGGCUACACACGUGUUACAAUGGCUGAUACAAAGGGUUGCAAGUUUGCAAAAACAAGCUAAUCCCAAAAAGUCAGUCUAAGUUCGGAUUGAGGUCUGCAACUCGACCUCAUGAAGUUGAAAUCGCUAGUAAUCGCGCAUCAGAACGGCGCGGUGAAUACGUUCUCGGGCCUUGUACACACCGCCCGU
rnacentral:rRNA from 1 species